rnacentral:rRNA from 1 species
GAACGCAAGGCUUCGGCCUUGAGUGGCGCACGGGUGAGUAGCGCGUGGGAACCCGCCCAGUCGUGGGGGAUAACCGAUGGAAACGUCGGCUAAUACCGCAUACGCCGGAGAGAUCCGGGAAAGAUUUAUCGCGAUUGGAGGGGCCCGCGUCGGAUUAGCUAGUUGGUGGGGUAACGGCCUACCAAGGCUUUGAUCCGUAGCUGGUCUGAGAGGAUGAUCAGCCACACUGGGACUGAGACACGGCCCAGACUCCUACGGGAGGCAGCAGUGGGGAAUAUUGGACAAUGGGGGCAACCCUGAUCCAGCAAUGCCGCGUGAGUGAGGAAGGCCUUAGGGUUGUAAAGCUCUUUCGCACGCGACGAUGAUGACGGUAGCGUGAGAAGAAGCCCCGGCUAACUUCGUG